rnacentral:misc_RNA from 1 species
GAUCAAUAAACUUACCAAUUUGACUUUAAUAUUCUUGUCAAACAAUAGCAUUUCUGGCUUGUUGCCAGAGAACAUUUGUCAUGGUGGUAUACUAGAAGACUUCUGUGCUAGUAAUAACCUAUUUACAGGUACUGUUCCUAAAGGCUUGAAAAACUGCACAACCUUAAAUAGACUUCGACUGGACAGGAAUAAUCUUACUGGUAAUAUAUCUGAAGAUUUUGGUGUAUAUCCGAAGCUUGAUUAUGUAGAUUUGAGCUACAACAAUUUUGUUGGGGAGGUAUCACCAAAUUGGGGAAAGUGCCGACUUCUAACAAGCCUAAAAAUCUCCAACAACUAU